CUCAGAUGAAUGUGAAGGCAGCAAAUGGAUCAGAGGAGGGAGAAUGAGCUGCAGAGAUGCUUUAUCCUGAGUGUUCACCUUGGAUCCGAUCCAGGGCUGUGGAUGGACUUCCCUGAAUGCCUGCUUGUGCCUGGGGCUGGCAGCAGGGCAAGGCUCAUACCUCGCACAAAGUUUUUCCUUCCGUGGAGGACGUGGGUGGAUUUGUUGCCUGUGAGAUGCUAAUAACGCUGGCCCGGUGCCCAGUGCAGUCUCACCUCCGGUGCUGAUGCUCUCCAAAACGUCUCUGCAGCCCCAGCGGGUGCAGGAGCACAGCCCCUCUCCCCUCCAGCCUG
rnacentral:lncRNA from 1 species